CCAAUAGCGUAUAUUAAAGUUGUUGCAGUUAAAAAGCUCGUAGUUGAAUUUCGGAAUCUGUCCGUUGGUCGGGCUUCAUUGUCCGUACUGGUGUGAUGGGUUCUUACCUUCUGAAUAACCAGCAUGCCAUUCACUUGGUGCGCUGGGGAAGCAGGACUAUUACCUUGAAAAAAUUAGAGUGCUCAAAGCAGGCUAGCGCCUGAAUACAUUAGCAUGGAAUAAUAAAAUAGGACGGCAUGGUUCUAUUUUGUUGGUUUCUAGGAUCACCGUAAUGAUUAAUAGGGAUAGUUGGGGGCAUUAGUAUUCAAUUGUCAGAGGUGAAAUUCUUGGAUUUAUUGAAGACUAACUUCUGCGAAAGCAUUUGCCAAGGAUGUUUUCAUUAAUCAAGAACGAAAGUUAGGGGAUCGAAGACGAUCAGAUACCGUCGUAGUCUUAACCAUAAACUAUGCCGACUAGGGAUCGGACGAUGUUAAUUUUUUAAUGACUCGUUCGGCGCCUUACG
rnacentral:misc_RNA from 1 species